UUAUUUUUAUGAAAAAGACGUUUUGAUUUGUCUGCAAAUCGAUAGCCAGAAAUACAAAUCCCCCGAAGUUCGGAACAUUCCAACGAUGAACUCUGCGUGGCUAAGUUUGAUUCUGCUGGGAAAUCUUGUGCGACGCAAAAGUGAAACGGACCAAAAUAUUAACCGUUCAAUUUGAACUCGUUAUAUCGGAUUUAUCAUGAUCUAGUGAUGAGUUUUGACUAUCUGGAAUACUCCACAUAAUUUAAGGCAAGAAUCGCACGAAUGUGCAUAGGAUAGUUCGUAAGAAUCGCUUUAUCGGCUUCCGUGACAACGAAUAAUCGUAAACUUUUGCCGACGGAACUGAUUCUCCAAACCGAUCAUCUGCCAACGUCAGUCAGAUAUCGACAGCAUAACAAAUAUUACAAUUUCUCAGAAUGAUAAUACGGUCCGACAUAACAGGGUUGUUAAGAAAAUCGUCGGUCGUAUAGCUAACGGGCCUGCGUAUGCCAUACAUCUAGUAAUGACACGAGUACCCAGAACAGUUAAACAAAUUACGUCAUUGGCCUGUGUUGGAUACUGACUAUGAAGUAACUGGAUAACCGAAAAUUCUAGUGUAUUCCUACCGGUUGAUGAAUCCUUCGAGUGAAUCCAUACAUUCGGAAUGUGAAACAAAUGAUUGAACAGGAAGAUCCGGUGGAAGCUUCAUGCAACCAUUUAUUCAAAAAAGUAAAGGCGGUGCGUGCCAAAUCUACAUGACUGUUAAGGUCAUUGGUAUGGCUGGCUUAAACGAUAGUGUUCGCUACAAAGAA